AAGGGCCAUCGCUCAACGGAUAAAAGCUACCCCGGGGAUAACAGGCUUAUCUCCCCCAAGAGUUCACAUCGACGGGGAGGUUUGGCACCUCGAUGUCGGCUCAUCGCAUCCUGGGGCUGUAGUCGGUCCCAAGGGUUGGGCUGUUCGCCCAUUAAAGCGGUACGCGAGCUGGGUUCAGAACGUCGUGAGACAGUUCGGUCCCUAUCCGUCGUGGGCGUAGGAAAUUUGAGAGGAGCUGUCCUUAGUACGAGAGGACCGGGAUGGACAUACCUCUGGUGUACCAGUUGUCGUGCCAACGGCAUAGCUGGGUAGCUAUGUGUGGACGGGAUAAGUGCUGAAAGCAUCUAAGCAUGAAGCCCCCCUCAAGAUGAGAUUUCCCAACUUCGGUUAUAAGACCCCUCAAAGAUGAUGAGGUUAAUAGGUUCGAGGUGGAAGCAUGGUGACAUGUGGAGCUGACGAAUACUAAUCGAUCGAAGACUUAAUCAA
rnacentral:rRNA from 1 species